rnacentral:rRNA from 1 species
GAUGAACGCUGGCGGCGUGCUUAACACAUGCAAGUCGAACGGUGAAGCAGGAGCUUGCUCUUGUGGAUCAGUGGCGAACGGGUGAGUAACACGUGAGCAACCUGCCCCUGACUCUGGGAUAAGCGCUGGAAACGGCGUCUAAUACUGGAUAUGUGAUGUGACCGCAUGGUCUGCAUCUGGAAAGAAUUUCGGUUGGGGAUGGGCUCGCGGCCUAUCAGCUUGUUGGUGAGGGAAGGGCUCACCAAGGAGUAGACGGGUAGCCGGCCUGAGAGGGUGACCGGCCACACUGGGACUGAGACACGGCCCAGACUCCUACGGGAGGCAGCAGUGGGGAAUAUUGCACAAUGGGCGGAAGCCUGAUGCAGCAACGCCGCGUGAGGGAUGACGGCCUUCGGGUUGUAAACCUCUUUUAGCAGGGAAGAAGCGAAAGUGACGGUACCUGCAGAAAAAGCACCGGCUAACUACGUGCCAGCCGCCGCCGUAA